rnacentral:rRNA from 1 species
AUUUGGAGAGGAUGCUUCUGGCGCGGCGCCGUCCGAGUUCCUUGGAACAGGACGCCAUAGAGGGUGAGAGCCCCGUACGGGCGGACGCCUAGCCUUUGUGAAGCUCCUUCGACGAGUCGAGUAGUUUGGGAAUGCUGCUCAAAAUGGGAGGUAAAUUUCUUCUAAAGCUAAAUACCGGCCAGAGACCGAUAGCGCACAAGUAGAGUGAUCGAAAGAUGAAAAGCACUUUGAAAAGAGGGUUAAAAAGUACGUGAAAUUGUUGAAAGGGAAGCGCCUGUGACCAGACUUGCUGCCCGCGGAUCAUCCGGCGUUCCUCGCCGGUGCACUCCGCGGGCGGCAGGCCAGCAUCGGUUCUCCUAGGGGGUCAAAGGUCGCGGGAACGUGGCUCCUUCGGGAGUGUUAUAGCCCGCGGCGUCAUGCCUCUGGGGGGACCGAGGACCGCGCUUCGGCAAGGAUGCUGGCGUAAUGGUCACCGGCGACCCGUCUUGAAACACGGACCAAGGAGUCAAGCAUUGGGGCGAGUGUCUGGGUGCCAAACCCGCACGCGAAAUGAAAGUAAACGCAGGUGAGAGCUUCGGCGCAUCACCGACCGAUCCUGAUGUCUUCGGAUGGAUUUGAGUAAGAGCCUUACCGCUUGGACCCGAAAGAUUGGUGACUAUGCCUGUAUAGGGUGAAGCCAGAGGAAACUCUGGUGGAGG